AGCAGAUAUGUGUCUCUCAGACACCAAGAGAACAAGAGCACUCCUCGCCAACACGGCAUGCCCCCGUCUCUCGAAAUCACGACAACAUGAACUAGUCUUGUAACCCACAAGCCAAUCAACACCUCCAAUAGUGGUAAAGCUAAUCCCUAGGUUUCAAGAUGGGCCCACGGGUUGGCACCCGGGCCCGCACUCCUUGGUCUCGGGAUACCCUGAUAUUUUCAGGGCCGACAGAUGCAUUGACCCUAUAGAUCCACCCAGGACUAUAGAUGGAUGAUGGAUGGUUUGGGAUCUCUAAGUUCUAAGCACACAGUAAAUGCGAAAGAAAUUUCUUAGCACUAAUGCAUGGCAUCAAAAAGGCUCAAUGCUAAGCUAAAUUUCUUUUAGUUGACAGUAAAUGAAAGGAGAUCAAACCAAUAGAAAAGGUUAUUAUUUUCAAUCGAUUUUCAAUAAUUCUAUCUUAACCGAUGUGUGCUUGUCCAAUAGUGGUCUUAUGUCUGUUUGUAUUGACUUCAAAAUGGUCAUUUAAAUUUCAAACUCAAAUUAACAUGCUAAGGAACAGAAAGAGAUAUUCAACGGUGAGUUUAUAACAAAUCAAUAUUCAAUUAUGCUACAGAGAAGUCGACUAAUUUUUAGUUAAAAAAAAGUCGAUGUGUUGACAACUAGAUCUUAAUCGAACCGCAAUGCGUGAGAGAUGAGAAAAUGGAAAUGAUGUACAAAUCUUAAUGGAUUAACAAUUCUAGUACUUCGACCGAGAUUUAAGGCAUUUUUUUUAAAUCAAUCGACUGAGAAAUAGCUAAUAAUAUUUAUAUAGCAUUUCAAUUUCUUUAUUGUUACCACUAAAAAGUUAAGAAAUGUUUUCUAAAAACAAUCUGGUUGCUUUUCUAACUUUAGUUUAUUCCUUUCCUCGUUUGUUCCGUCUAUUUCAUAGGGCACAUCUUAUUUCAGCUCACAGAAAUUCAUCGAACUUGAUUAGAACUACUGUACGAUUGACAUAUUUCAAAAUUAGAUCAAAAUAGCUGUGCUCCUUGCGUCGCGUUAGACAAUGUAAACAACUUUAGACGGUUGAAAAGCCGUCCAGAAAGCCAUUUGGAAGUUGCACAACCUCAGACCACAAGAUCGUGCAGAUUCAAAAAGAGUAGAUGACAAAACAAAAUUGGCAACAGACCAAUUCAUAAAGCGAGGCAAAGUAUAAGAUUUGCAGCUUAGGUUCCACUGCGGUAAGAUUAUUCAUGGUGGCUGAGUAGCGCAGCUCCUCAGAAACUCACAUCUCAGUUGCCACAAUUUAUCGUCAACAACAAACUUGAAGCACUUUUUGUUCCAUACAGUAGCAUCGCCCACAGUAUAUGAAAUGAAGUUCCGGUGCGGCCUAAUGUGCCUGCGCUGGCGCCACCUGUAGUAGCAUAUUAGAUUGAGUAAGGUGAAAUUUUCAGGUGACACGCACGCAAAUAUAGCAAGCAAAGAAGCAAUCUGGUUGUUACACAUGACCGUGCAUUUGAUAAUAAAAAAUCUCAUGGACUGUAGCAUGAGGGCAUAAACCUUUUCAAAG
rnacentral:lncRNA from 1 species